rnacentral:misc_RNA from 1 species
GAAAUGCGAUAAGUAAUGUGAAUUGCAGAAUUCAGUGAAUCAUCGAAUCUUUGAACGCACAUUGCGCCCGCCAGUAUUCUGGCGGGCAUGCCUGUUCGAGCGUCAUUUCAACCAUCAAGCCCCCGGCUUGUGUUGGGGACCUGCGGCUGCCCGCAGGCCCUGAAAACCAGUGGCGGGCUCGCUGUCCCACCGAGCGUAGUAGCAUACAUCUCGCUCAGGGCGUGCUGCGGGUUCCGGCCGUUAAAAGCCUUUUUUUACCCAAGGUUGACCUCGGAUCAGGUAGGAAGACCCGCUGAACUUAAGC